ensembl:lncRNA
AGCAGUGAGACUGAUGGUUUGCACCUGGCCUUGGCAAGACCCCUGACAGCUCUGCCGUUGAGGUCAGUGUAGAAGCGUUAGGACAGGGGGGCUGAAUUCCUCUCUUUCUGAGGGGCAGUGGAGCCCGAGCCAGCCUGUGGCUUCAUCAUCCACACCUUCAGUGUCCCCGGGGGCUCUCCUGACAUCUUGACGUCAGCACAGUCCCUCUUCUGCAUAAGGUCUCCCUCCAGGUGCUGGGGUUACCGCGACCAAGACGAAUGCAGACUCCGUUUCCCUGAGGCUUCAACUCCUGGAAGACAGCCACGUGGAGGAGGCUACAGCUGCCUUCAGACAUCGAAGAGGGGAACCCCCAGAAGCCCAAGGGUGCGGUCUGUGGUCAGGGCAGCGAAUGGCCCCCGGGAGGCUGCACUCUGGGCUCUGGUCCUGGCGGCAUGAUCAACUUUCUGGGCGACCUCGGACAAGUCACUCUCCCUCUCUGAACUUUAGUGUCCUCAUCUAUAAAGCGAGUGCACUGGUCUAAGACCCCAGCCAGGUCUUAGCUGCAGCCCUCGGAACCUUUAGUUGUGGCGUUCAAACUCCUGAUUGCGGCAUGUGGGAUCUAGUUCCCUGACCGGGAACCAAACCCCAGGCCUCCUGCAUUGGGAGGACAGAGUCUUAGCCUCCAGGCCCCCAUGGAAG